GAUUGUUACUGCAAGGAUUGAAGGCAAUGGGCUGGAAACACGCACCCAGCUCAGACCCUGCCUUCAGCCGGUGCCGGAAUCCUUCCUUGACCCCAGCCUCACCGUGAGACACCUGGCCCUUCACUCAGAAAGGGCUCCGUCAGUCAGCACCUUGGCGGCCCACUACCCACCGUCCACCUGAUCAUCACCCUGAGGGAUUACAUCCCCAGAAUCCUGGGACCCGAGGCCUUCCAGCAGUACGUGGGUCCCUAUGAAGGCUAUGACUCCACGGCCAACCCCACUGUGUCCAACGUGUUCUCCACAGCCGCCUUCCGCUUCGGCCAUGCCACGAUCCACCCACUGGUGAGGAGGCUGGACGCCAGCUUCCAAGAGCACCCCGACCUGCCCGGGCUGUGGCUGCACCAGGCCUUCUUCAGCCCAUGGACACUCCUCCGUGGAGGUUACAAUGAGUGGAGGGAGUUCUGUGGCCUGCCUCGCCUGGAGACCCCCGCUGACCUGAGCACAGCCAUUGCCAGCAGGAGCGUGGCCGACAAGAUCCUGGACUUGUACAAGCAUCCUGACAACAUCGAUGUCUGGCUGGGAGGCUUAGCUGAAAACUUCCUCCCCAGGGCUCGGACAGGGCCCCUGUUUGCCUGUCUCAUUGGGAAGCAGAUGAAGGCUCUGCGGGACGGUGACUGAUGUGAACGAGUGUGCAGACGGUGCCCACCCCCCCUGCCACGCCUCCGCGAGGUGCAGAAACACCAAGGGCGGCUUCCAGUGCCUCUGCGCGGACCCCUACGAGUUAGGAGACGAUGGGAGAACCUGCGUAGAUUCUGGGAGGCUCCCUCGGGCAACUUGGGUCUCCAUCUCGCUGGCUGCUCUGCUGAUCGGAGGCUUGGCAGGUCUCACCUCGACGGUGAUUUGCAGAUGGAGAGUGCUGGGAUACUCAAAGGCUGCCGAGAGCCCUCUGAGGGCAAAGUGGCAGGACACUGAAUCCUGCAGAACAGCUUCGUGUUCCCAAAAUCACCGUACGACUAUUUUCCAAACACAGGCAAAUCCAAAAUCACCAGGACGACUGUUUUCCAAACACGGGCAAAUCUAGUACUAUGUUGUAAUUACUCUCAGGCAUGGAUGAAUAAAUAUUAUAGCUGCAUCUGUCUGGCCUUUUCUUGUAAACAAACAUUGCCUGAUUUGUUCCUUCUGGGGCUUUGCCAUUAAAAUGUAUUUACAGAUUACACAUCUUUAUUUUGCGAACCCUGGAAACACUACUCUUGCCAUCCUCCUAUCUCUACUUUCUGGUGUCUCCGAUGCUGUGCUCAUCUGCACUCUG
rnacentral:sRNA from 1 species